AGCGAACGCUGGCGGCAGGCUUAACACAUGCAAGUCGAGCGCCCCGCAAGGGGAGCGGCAGACGGGAGAGUAACACGUGGGAACAUACCUUUUGGUUCGGAACAACUGAGGGAAACUUCAGCUAAUACCGGAUAAGCCCUUACGGGGAAAGAUUUAUCGCCGAAAGAUUGGCCCGCGUCUGAUUAGCUAGUUGGUGAGGUAACGGCUCACCAAGGCGACGAUCAGUAGCUGGUCUGAGAGGAUGAUCAGCCUCACUGGGACUGAGACACGGCCCAGACUCCUACGGGAGGCAGCAGUGGGGAAUAGUGGACAAUGGGGGCAACCCUGAUCCAGCCAUGCCGCGUGAGUGAUGAAGGCCUUAGGGUUGUAAAGCUCUUUUGCCCGGGAAGAUAAUGACGGUACCGGGAGAAUAAGCCCCGGCUAACUUCGUG
rnacentral:rRNA from 1 species